AUGACUAAAUGGAAAGAUCCUAAGGUUGGAGGCGGUGUCGGUGGAACUUGAGAAGUUGCCAAGAACCAAACCCAACACUCACCGAGGUUGUGGCUGUAACGCAAUGGAUGCUCAUGGAGAAAAGUACAAGUAGAGUGUUUACUUUAUGUAUUCAAUACAGUAUAUGGUUUAUGUAUGUAAUAUGAGAUUGAUUAAGGAUUGUAAUCGAAGUAUUUUUGAGAAAGGAUAAUCGUAUAAAUUAU